rnacentral:rRNA from 1 species
GCAAGUCGAACGCGAAAGCAAUCUUCGGGGUUUAUUAGAGUGGCGGACGGGUUAGUAACGCGUAGGAAUCUGCCCAGUAGUGGGGGACAACAUGUGGAAACGCAUGCUAAUACCGCAUACGCCCUACGGGGGAAAGACUUCGGUCGCUAUUGGAUGAGCCUGCGUAAGAUUAGCUAGUUGGUAGGGUAAUGGCCUACCAAGGCGACGAUCUUUAGCUGGACUGAGAGGUCGAAC